CUAGUUGGUGAGGUAAUGGCUCACCAAGGCUACGACGGGUAGGGACCUGAGAGGGUCGACCCCCCACAAUGGAACUGAAACACGGUCCAUACACCUACGGGUGGCAGCAGUAGGGAAUAUUGCACAAUGGGCGAAAGCCUGAUGCAGCAACGCCGCGUGUGCGAUGAAGGCCUUCGGGUCGUAAAGCACUUUUCUGGGAGAUGAGCAAGGACAGUAUCUCAGGAAUAAGUCUCGGCUAACUACGUGCCAGCAGCCGCGGUAAAACGUAGGAGGCAAGCGUUAUCCGGAUUCACUGGGCGUAAAGCGCGUGCAGGCGGUUCGGUAAGUUGGGCGUGAAAUCUCCUGGCUUAACUAGGAGAGGUCGUUCAAUACUACCGGACUUGAGAGUGAUAGAGGAAGAUGGAAUUCCCGGUGUAGUGGUGAAAUGCGUAGAUAUCGGGAGGAACACCAGUGG
rnacentral:rRNA from 1 species